rnacentral:rRNA from 1 species
GAGGCAGCAGUAGGGAAUAUUGGGCAAUGGAUGCAAGUCUGACCCAGCCAUGCCGCGUGCCGGAUGAAGGCCCUCAGGGUUGUAAACGGCUUUUAUUCGGGAAGAAGAGCAGGGAUGCGUCCUUGUGUGACGGUACCGAAUGAAUAAGCACCGGCUAACUCCGUGCCAGCAGCCGCGGUAAUACGGAGGGUGCGAGCGUUGUCCGGAUUUAUUGGGUUUAAAGGGUGCGUAGGUGGCUUUAUAAGUCAGUGGUGAAAUACGGUUGCUCAACAAUCGAGGUGCCAUUGAUACUGCAAAGCUUGAAAUAAUUGGAGGCUGCCGGAAUGGAUGGUGUAGCGGUGAAAUGCAUAGAUAUCAUCCAGAACACCGAUUGCGAAGGCAGGUGGCUACGAUUGGUUUGACACUGAGGCACGAAAGCAUGGGGAGCAAACAGGAUUAGAUACCCUGGUAGUCCAUGCUGUAAACGAUGAGGACUCGCUGUUUGAUGGCAACAUUGAGCGGCUUAGGGAAACCGUUAAGUCCUCCACCUGGGGAGUACGCCGGCAACGGUGAAACUCAAAGGAAU